UACGAAGGGGGCUAGCGUUGCUCGGAAUCACUGGGCGUAAAGCGCACGUAGGCGGGUCUUUAAGUCAGGGGUGAAAUCCUGGAGCUCAACUCCAGAACUGCCUUUGAUACUGAGGAUCUCGAGUCCGGGAGAGGUGAGUGGAACUCCGAGUGUAGAGGUGAAAUUCGUAGAUAUUCGGAAGAACACCAGUGGCGAAGGCGGCUCACUGGCCCGGUACUGACGCUGAGGUGCGAAAGCGUGGGGAGCAAACAGGG
rnacentral:rRNA from 1 species